GUAGUCCACGCCGUAAACGUUGGGCGCUAGGUGUGGGGAACCUUCCACGUUCUCUGUGCCGCAGCUAACGCAUUAAGCGCCCCGCCUGGGGAGUACGGCCGCAAGGCUAAAACUCAAAGGAAUUGACGGGGGCCCGCACAAGCGGCGGAGCAUGUGGCUUAAUUCGAUGCAACGCGAAGAACCUUACCAAGGCUUGACAUUCACAGUAAUCUCACAGAGAUGUGAGGUCCGCAAGGGAUUGUGAACAGGUGGUGCAUGGUUGUCGUCAGCUCGUGUCGUGAGAUGUUGGGUUAAGUCCCGCAACGAGCGCAACCCUCGUCCUAUGUUGCCAGCGGGUUAUGCCGGGGACUCAUAGGAGACUGCCGGGGUCAACUCGGA
rnacentral:rRNA from 1 species